AAUGUGGGAAAGCCUUCUCUCGAAUGU
rnacentral:piRNA from 1 species